GAGGCAUGUCGCCGUGGCGACCAUCCUCCCUCCCCCACGACGCCUACUUGACACCCCCGAGCCCCCUCGAACCCUAGCGCCCCCAGAUUCCAUCCCCUCGCUCGACUCCCCUCGGUCCAGGCAAACCCGAGAGCAACCGCCGCCACGCCAUCUUCGAUCAUGUGGCCGCCGUGCUCCCCGAGCCACGCGGAAACGUCUAGCAGCUCCGCCACGCUCAUCUUCGUCGUCUACUAUCAUCGGUUCGAACUGGAGCGCAAUACAUCGCCGUCAUCGUCUUCGUCUUCACCAUCGGUCACCGAAGGGAGCCGUCUUCGAUUCGUUGUCACCACACCUCCCCCGAGCCGGCUGAGUUGCUCAUCGGAAUCUCUAUGCUGACAAUGAAUAAGGACAAAGCUUUUGGAGUUGUCUUCAAGACAUUCAAGAGGGAAUGCAGGUGAAGUACAGGACUUGGCACUUUGAUUUGGCAUUGGAAGAUUUGAAGAUGGUCGUUUGGAGGCUUGGAGAUGUGAAAGAUGCCAUGAUGAUUCCAACUUUAAAGUGAUUUGUGAACUAUAAGUUCUAUUUCAGAAGUUACAUAGCUGUUGAACCAUCUACUAUUGUUUUUUGUUGAAAUUUACUCAAGUUAUGCUGCUGAAAUGUGCUUGUUUUGCUGCUGAAA